GCCCGCCUAGCUCAAUCGGAUAGAGCGUCAGACUCUUAUCAGGCGGGUUUGUCUCACUGAAGACAUCUGAAGGCUGCGAGUUCGACCCUCGCGGUGGGCU
rfam:Peniophora sp. CONT PENSPscaffold_209_Cont302, whole genome shotgun sequence.